CGGGUGCACUGAUCCGGCCGGGCCUUUCCCUCUGUGGAACCCCAUGGCCUUCACUGGCUGUGCGGGGGAAACAGGACUUUUACUGUGAAAAAAUUAGAGUGCUCCAGGCAGGCCUAUGCUCGAAUACAUUAGCAUGGAAUAAUAGAAUAGGACGCGUGGUUCUAUUUUGUUGGUUUCUAGGACCGCCGUAAUGGUUAAUAGGGACAGUCGGGGGCAUCAGUAUUCAAUUGUCAGAGGUGAAAUUCUUGGAUCUAUUGAAGACUAACUACUGCGAAAGCAUUUGCCAAGGAUGUUUUCAUUGAUAAGGAACGAAAGUUAGGGGAUCGAAGACGAUCAGAUACCGUCGUAGUCUUAACUAUAAACUAUGCCGACUAGGGAUCGGACGAUGUUAUUUCUUGACGCGUUCGGCACCUUUCGAGAAAUCAAAGUGCUUGGGCUCCAGGGGGAGUAUGGUCGCAAGGCUGAAACUUAAAGAAAUUGACGGAAGGGCACCACCAGGGGUGGAACCUGCGGCUUAAUUUGACUCAACACGGGGAAACUCACCAGGUCCAGACACAGUGAGGAUUGACAGAUUGAGAGCUCUUUCUUGAUUCUGUGGGUGGUGGUGCAUGGCCGUUCUUAGUUGGUGGAGUGAUUUGUCUGCUUAAUUGCGAUAACGAACGAGACCUUAACCUGCUAAAUAGCCCGUACUGCUCUGGCAGUUCGCCGGCUUCUUAGAGGGACUAUCGG
rnacentral:rRNA from 1 species